rnacentral:rRNA from 1 species
ACUCCUGCGGGAGGCAGCAGUGGGGAAUAUUGGACAAUGGGCGCAAGCCUGAUCCAGCCAUGCCGCGUGAGUGAUGAAGGCCCUAGGGUUGUAAAGCUCUUUCACCGGUGAAGAUAAUGACGGUAACCGGAGAAGAAGCCCCGGCUAACUUCGUGCCAGCAGCCGCGGUAAUACGAAGGGGGCUAGCGUUGUUCGGAUUUACUGGGCGUAAAGCGCACGUAGGCGGACUAUUAAGUCAGGGGUGAAAUCCCGGGGCUCAACCCCGGAACUGCCUUUGAUACUGGUAGUCUUGAGUUCGAGAGAGGUGAGUGGAAUUCCGAGUGUAGAGGUGAAAUUCGUAGAUAUUCGGAGGAACACCAGUGGCGAAGGCGGCUCACUGGCUCGAUACUGACGCUGAGGUGCGAAAGCGUGGGGAGCAAACAGGAUUAGAUACCCAGGUAGUCCCA